rnacentral:lncRNA from 1 species
CUACUUCAGUACUGGAAGAAGAGCCAGCUCCACCAUGAGUGAGGGUGAGGGUGAUUCUCCAGCGGGAAAUCAGGGUACCGACACUAUAGAAAGAGAAAAGAAUGCUGAAUAUUGAAAAGCAGUAAAAGUGCUUUACUUUCUGCAUUGGACAUACCUCGUUAUUUGGAAUGUCCAGAUGGAGAACACUUCGUAAGUGGUUUGAAAUAUGAAAUUGAAACCUACGUACAAUAGAACUGGACAUGCAGUUUAAUCCAGGCUGUGUCAAUAAGAGAGCUCCUUCCUUUUUCUGACUCCUCAAAUUGGAGAAGAUGGAACAGACUCAGUCAACGUGGGCUGCUGAGAUGGGCUGCACAUCUCUGGGGACCAGCUUUCACUGGAAUUCAGAGAACCUGAAAAUGGUACCCCUAGAGUUGUAAGAUACCAGCCCUGGAUUCAGAAAUUCUUCUUCACAUAAGAACAGGAGUCUUUACCUAGACAUAGGGAACCUGGCUGACUAUGGUAUUAACUCUCCUUCUACAGGUUGGAAAAUUCAAAAGCCUCCCCAUGCUUUUAUAAAAUGGCUCAUCUUACUUCAGACACUUACUUAC